rnacentral:rRNA from 1 species
CAGUCGCCGCGGUAAUACAGAGGGUGCGAGCGUUAAUCGGAUUUACUGGGCGUAAAGCGUGCGUAGGCGGCUUCUUAAGUCGGAUGUAAAAUCCCUGAGCUUAACUUAGGAAUUGCAUUCGAUACUGGGAAGCUAGAGUAUGGGAGAGGAUGGUAGAAUUCCAGGUGUAGCGGUGAAAUGCGUAGAGAUCUGGAGGAAUACCGAUGGCGAAGGCAGCCAUCUGGCCUAAUACUGACGCUGAGGUACGAAAGCAUGGGGAGCAAACAGGAUUAGAUACCCCUGUAGUCCCUGUCUCUUAUAC